rnacentral:rRNA from 1 species
CCUACCCUAUGGACGGGGAUAACCUCGGGAAACUGAGAAUAAUACCCGAUAGAACAUUAUGCCUGGAAUGGUUUAUGUUUCAAAUAAUUUAUUGCCGUAGGAUGGGACUGCGGCCUAUCAGUUUGUUGGUGAGGUAAUGGCCCACCAAGACUAUUACAGGUACGGGCUCUGAGAGGAGUAGCCCGGAGAUGGGUACUGAGACACGGACCCAGGCCCUAUGGGGCGCAGCAGGCGAGAAAACUUUGCAAUGUGCGAAAGCACGACAAGGUUAAUCCGAGUGGUUUCUGCUAAAGGAACCUUUUGUCAGUCCUAGAAACACUGAUGAAUAAGGGGUGGGCAAGUUCUGGUGU